CAUCAACAGCAGAGAAAAUGGCUGCUACUCUUUGACGUCAGUGCGUGUGGUACGCCCCGGCCAGGCACGCAUUGGGCAUCAUAGAGCUGGGGGUUUCGUUUAGGAUGGGUUAAAAUGCCUCCCGGAUUAUUCAAAAUGCAAGGAACGGUGUGUUCCGUCUGUGUUCGUGUUUUCAAAUGGUGCCCAGUGUUGUUCAUCACGACCAUAGUAGCCUGGUCCUACUACGCGUAUGUCAUCCAACUGUGUUUGUUUACCAUUGACAACGUGAUCCAAAAGAUAUUUUACCUGAUUGGCUUUCAUGCCUGUUUCGCCAUGUUCGCUUGGUCAUACUGGCAGACCAUAUUCACAGAGCCAGGUACCAUUCCAAAGCAAUUCUACCUGUCACCAGCAGAUGCUGAGCACCUGGAAAAGGAACUCGGCGAAGAUAAUCAAAGGCAAAUGCUGGAAAGGCUUGCCAAGAACCUUCCUGUCUCAUGUCGAACCAUGAAUGGGAUGGUGAGAUAUUGUGAGAAGUGCCACCUCAUCAAGCCCGACAGAGCGCACCACUGUUCAGUAUGUGGGAGGUGUAUACUGAAAAUGGACCAUCAUUGUCCUUGGGUGAACAACUGUGUGUCUUUCACUAACUACAAGUACUUCAUUCUCUUCUUGGCCUACUCCUUAAUCUACUGCCUUUUCGUGGCUGCUACGACACUGCAGUUCUUCAUAAAGUUCUGGACGAAUGACCUUGAAGGCUGGGGACGUUUCCACAUCUUGUUUUUGUUUUUCGUUGCUUUCAUGUUUGCUAUCAGCUUGGUCUCGCUGUUUGGCUAUCACUGCUUCCUCGUCAUGGUGAACCGCUCUACACUUGAGGCAUUCCGGCCACCAAUAUUUCGCACAGGGCCAGACAAGCAUGGCUUCAGUCUUGGCCACCAGGCUAAUGUGGCCGAGGUAUUUGGUGACAACCGUCGUCUCUGGCUCCUACCGGUUUUCACAAGCUUGGGCGACGGCGUCACUUUCCCACAAAAAAUUGUGGAUGAGGACACAGAUGGGCUUUUGAACCAAAGGCAGAGAUGGGCUGAAACUGACGAAGAAACAGGCCAUUCCGAUGCCUCUGGGAAUAGCAUGAAUGCAGAGGUCACAGCACUGCUUGAAUGAGCUGCUCCCAACUCUGUGUGUGUACCUUUGUGUGCGGUAACGCUGCGCCUCGUGAUAGGGAAUGUCAGCGCCAGUGUCAAGAGUUGAAAAGAUGCACAUUGCAGAUGGCGAUCACCCGGUCUAAGCCACCUGGCAUUUUUUUAAAAUCGAGCAAAGGCCCUGGGCGGCACACGACUCAACCUUGCUGCAGGAACAAUGCAAGACUGAUUUCGCUGCUGCCUCCUGACCCCUUGCGUUCCAGCCUCCAUAGAUUGUCUUGUAGCAUCGAAGAGGCUCACUGCCACCAUUUUUGGCGUCACUUGCAUGCCAACCCUCUGAGGGGAACGGAGGCUGCAUUCUUUGGCCGCAAUAGAAGAGCUGGGACUCUGCUUAAUUAAUUAUCAAUUCUUAAUGAAUUUAAUGAAAUACGAAUUCUUCUCAUCCCAUAAAAAAACAUAGCGUCCUCUGCAAAUAACAGUCACUGCUAGUCUCUCUGUGUUGAGAGGCCAGCAGCUAAGAUCGACAUGCUUCUUUUAAAUGCAUAAUGUUGAUAGUAUGUGCGUUGUGUAUUGAAUUGUAUUGUUGCAGGUAUGUAAGCCAAGGUGAUGGAGGCCACACUAUUGCAUUGUGUGCUUGUGUAACUUUUGGCAUUUCAUUGUGAUUUUCUUAAUUUAUUGCCUUAUAAUAAAAAAAACAAUUCUUUUCAGACCUCAUUUUGUUUUACUGAAUGAAUAAUUUUUUAUUGUGUCACUAUAUGUCUUUUCCUUUUGAAGCAUUUUCUGCAUAGUUCAAAAUGAAAUUUGGUCCUUUUUUUUUUGCUAGUACUAGAGCUACAAAAGUAGAUCAGUGACAUUUAGAGGUCUUGUGCACAGGCUAACUAGAUGCAGGUGUUUGACAGCAUUGUAUUUGGAUACUAGCUAUUCUGGCAAAAAAUAUUUGUUUGGUGAUGUAAAGGGUGUGAACAGUUCUUAGUUACAGCGCAGGUCAUGUCAUUUUAAUUCACUUGUAAUCUUGGGUGCACCUGAAAUGCAGAAGCCAUCAAAUGUAAAAUACAAACUACAGUGACAGCUCAUGGUCCUGCUUAUCAUUUUCUGGUGGUCAUUGUGGAAUAAGUCUAUAUUAAAAAAGCACUCUCAAGAUGAGCGAUUCUGUGAGGGUUCAGGAUCUUGCCAAGUCUUCACCUUUCACACUUUAUUACGCCUUUCUCCGUCGUGUAUAAGUUGCCACUCACCCGUAGAUAGCACCAAAAGAGUGACAGGAUGAGCCAAUUUCAGUAAACCUUGUAGAAAAACUUAAGUUGACCGAACUCAAUUUUAUUUGAGAAGCUGGUUUUUCUUUGGCAUAUCUUUGGUGUGGUCACAUCUCGUUCGCCAUCUUGCCUUUGAAAGGGCUGUUUAUUAUAGGUGAGAUGUGAUAAGCAGGGGAUAUUGUAAUAGUAUUUAUAACUUUAGCUUGAUUUAUUGUUUCUGACAUCAGUAUGCAAAGCACUGCAUACAAAUGUAAAUACUGUAAAAACUAAUCCAGUGAGUACGACUGACGGGUGCUGAUCUUUUCCCUUACCUUGAAAAGCUGUUUCACAGGUUCUAUUGCUUGAGACUUUGUUCAUGUACGGUGUCACAUGUGGCAGGAACAUAGUCAGUUCUGUUGUGUUUUUGGUGGUGUAUUGAGAUGUUUACAAGUUAAAAGUCCCCUAUAAAGCUGCUUAUAAACUGGAGCAAGGCAGCCACUGUCUAUUCACAUUUGGUUUCUUUAUAAACCAUGUUUAAAACUAUGCAGUAUAAGGCUCUGUGUAACAAUGAUGGAAUCUUCCAAAAUGCAUUAACUUCAUUACAGCUACAAUCUUUCCUUACAAAAGUAAAAGGAAGAGCCACCUCUAGCCAUGCGUUGUCACCCCAUUUUUGAUGGCUUCGACUGAAGAUUUACUCCCACACAGAGAAAUUUUGCUAAUUGGCAUAACUAUGCAGGUUUUCUUCUGCAAGCAUAAAUGCAUUGAUAAAGUGUACUUCUGACUUAUAAAUGAACAGAAAACAGCACUUGCCUUGCAGGGUGCCCUUUCAGGACAAUUUUAUUCACAACUAAUGCAGCUAUGAUGAGCAUGACGUCAAUGUAUCUAUGUAGAAAGUUGUAAAUACGGUGCAGUUUCACCCCGUUCACCCUGUUUGAGAAGUGAAGUGUGGACUUGUUAUGCAAAGAGUUGUUACUCUGUAGUUGUUUGGUGUUUCAUAAAAUAUGGGGUUGCUUACAAUUGUGCUAUCAAAUACGUUACUUUUGUCGGCCUAAGCCGGCCUUUGGGGCGCUUCUUUGUUCACCGUGCAAUACUUUGAAUGUGCUGCAAUGUACUGUUAGGUGUACUGGUUUAUGUUUUCACAUUGGUGGAAAUGAUUACGGUCAAGUUUGGUUUUGUGUGUCUUCACAGACCGAACCAGCGACCAACUUUUUUUUUUUCUCCUUUUGGUCACAGAACUGCUAUUGGAAAGCUUGCGGUGCUGCUCUAUGUAGCCAGGAUCCAGUGUGCCGUAGAUAAGAGGGAACUUUGCCAUCAUCGAGUAACUUAUCUGCACACUGCGUUGAGCUGUAUGACCUUUCAUGCUGUAGUAGUGCAGAAGACUGAACAAGAAGCAAUGCAAUCAAGUGGAUGCUACGAAGUGCUCGAUUCCCUAAGUUACAAAAUGCUAGAAGCAAUGCAAAAUUCUUCAAACACAAGAUGCUAUCGCAGCCUACAUUUCGGGAAGCGGACUUGUCUUCUUGAAGGCCUUCUAAGCCAAGUCCGCUGGUUGAAACGCAGGAGUUUCCAUUGCUUCCAAAUUCCAUCUUGCCCUUGAUUUAAUACUGUGAGAACCAAACUAAACUAGGAUUGAAUUACAAUUAACUAGAACAAUGGCCAAAACAAAUAUAUGCACACUGUGAAUCUUUACUGUAAAUUACUAAAUGUAGCAAACAAACCUUGGCAUGCAGCCAGUACAACAGCCACUGAAGUAAUAGAGGAAACGCAUUUAGGGUGCUUCUAUUCGUCGAUGAAUUGUCUGCUCGGGUGCACUUCUUAUUAUACCGUCUUCACUACUACACUAGCGAAAAGUUACAAAGUUCAUUUAUUUGAAUAGAUAUAGAAGUUGCCCUCUAGUGAUGACUGAACACUGUGCCAUGCUUUCUGUAACAUAGCAAGCUUUGAAAUCGAAGUCUUGUGACCGAACGAGUAACAUGAAAUUUCGUCGCUUUUAAAAUUUGAAAAUUGUGCUGAUGCUAAGCUCUGUGAAGGAGGCCAUUUGAUGUGUGAGCGAACAUUAAGAUGAUAUUUAAUCACCCUUUAAUUUGUAUAAAAACAAAGGGCUGUGCAUUUAUGCGCUCUGCGGUCGACCGAAUUCCGGUACAACAGUAGGUACAGCGAAGCAAGCAUUCACUCUUAAAUAUAAGCGUGAAUUGUCGUUCAUUUGGCACUGCAAACCGAUAUAAUGGCAAUCCAUGGUGACCAUUCUCUUGUAGACCAUUCUCUUGUAGUGCGCGUCCUCGAGUCCAGCAGUAUUCACGUCAGCGCACCUCCUAGGACACCAGCAGUCAUAAUUGGAACAAGCAAGACGGAGUUUCUACCGUCCCGUACUCGCAGUUGACUAACUGAAAGCUGUGUACACUUGCCGCGCAGACCACGUUCUGAAUGUUACAAAGUAAUCGGUGUACCUGCACUGCAGCUGUAUGAACAAAGUACCCUUGAGCUCCUCAAAACAGAAAUAAACCGUAGUUUGGACCUUU
rnacentral:misc_RNA from 1 species